CUACAGUGCCAUCAUAGAAGAAACAACAAAGAAAUAAUCUUUGGAGUCUGAAAUAAAGAUUUUACUGUCAAUGAGCUACUGUUUGGUUAUAUAAUCUGAACACAGGACUUUACUUCAUUGUCACGUUUUCAGCAUCCAGGAAACAAGAAAGAGAAUGAUAAAUCACCAUGGGAUCUACAACCAACCUUUAUCAACUAUUACUAUGUCACCUAUUUCUUCAAAGUUAAAUUUAAAAAA